CAUAGCUGAUAACGAGAUCUGGGUCAAAUAUUACAUCAUUCCUCUACCAAUUCAGAAUUAUGUACACAUUUCUCCCCACCAUAUACGUACUGGGUCUGGUUCUCGAUUUUGUAUUCACCUUUAUGUACUCACAUUAUGCUACUUUUUUUUCAAAAGUUUAUUAGCAUGUACUCUUUCAAAUGAAAUUUAAAAUUAUUUUGUGAAGUUCCUA
rnacentral:lncRNA from 10 species